rnacentral:miRNA from 1 species
CCUGAUAUUCAGUCUGUAGACCAGGAUAGCCUCAAAUUCACAGAGAUCCGCCUGCCUCUGCCUUCUGAGUCCUGGGAU